rnacentral:rRNA from 1 species
UACGUAGGGGGCUAGCGUUGUCCGGAUUUAUUGGGCGUAAAGAGCGUGUAGGCGGCCUGGUAGGUCUGCUGUGAAAACUCGAGGCUCAACCUCGAGAUGUCGGCGGAAACCGUCUGGCUAGAGUCCGGAAGAGGAGAGUGGAAUUCCUGGUGUAGCGGUGAAAUGCGCAGAUAUCAGGAAGAACACCUAUGGCGAAGGCAGGUCUCUGGGACGGUACUGACGCUGAGACGCGAAAGCGUGGGGAGCGAACAGG